rnacentral:rRNA from 1 species
UAAUACGUAGGGGGCGAGCGUUGUCCGGAUUUACUGGGCGUAAAGGGUGAGUAGGCGGUUAUAUAUGUCAGGUGUAAAAAGCUAUGGCUUAACCAUAGUAAGCACUUGAAACUGUAUGACUUGAGUGCAGGAGAGGUAAGCGGAAUUCCUAGUGUAGCGGUGAAAUGCGUAGAUAUUAGGAGGAACACCGGUGGCGAAGGCGGCUUACUGGACUGUAACUGACGCUGAGUCACGAAAGCGUGGGUAGCAAACAGG